GUACUACUCCCACCAUCCCAAAAUUCUUGUCUUAAAUUUAUCUAAAAAUGAAUGUAUCUGAAUACUAAAACGUAACUAGAUACAUUCAUAUCUAGACAAAUUUAAGACAAGAAUUUUGAAAUGGAGGGAAUAUUAC
rfam:Hordeum vulgare subsp. vulgare, WGS project CAJW01000000 data, contig: morex_contig_43397